AUAUUUUGACAAAUGCUGCAUUCUUAGUAAUGUAGAGGAAAGUCCAUGCUCACACUAUCUGUGAUGAUAGUAGUGUUCGCGCUAGGGGAAAAAAUAACCCUAGGUAGCUUUGCUAACGGCUCUGAAAUAACCUAAGUCUAGUAUAUGGUUAGAUUAAGUGUAAAAGUGCCAAAGUGACGAAGAAAUCAGAAAUGAUGGAAGUGGAACGUGGUAAACCCCGCGAGUGAGAAACCCAAAUUUUGGUAGGGGAACUCGGGCUAGGGAAUAAGAACCGAACCUGGGACCGAAAGGUAGAUAAAUAUUUGUCGCUCUUUAUGAGAACAGAACAUGGCUUAUAAAA
rnacentral:RNase_P_RNA from 1 species